CCUACGGGAGGCAGCAGUGGGGGAUAUUGCACAAUGGGGGAAACCCUGAUGCAGCGACGCCGCGUGAGUGAAGAAGUAUUUCGGUAUGUAAAGCUCUAUCAGCAGGGAAGAAAAAAGACGGUACCUGACUAAGAAGCACCGGCUAACUACGUGCCAGCAGCCGCGGUAAGACGGAGGGGGCAAGCGUUAGCCGGACUUACUGGGUGUAAAGGGAGCGUAGACGGGAAGACAAGUCGGAAGUGAAAUACCCGGGCUCAACCUGGGAACUGCAUUGGAAACUGUAUGGCUGGAGUGUUGGAGAGGGAAGCGGAAUUCCAGGUGUAGCGGUGAAAUGCGUAGAGAUUAGGAGGAACACCAGUGGCGAAGGCGGCUUACUGGACAGUAACUGACGUUGAGGUUCGAAAGCGUGGGGAGCAAACAGGAUUAGAUACCCGAGUAGUC
rnacentral:rRNA from 1 species